rnacentral:rRNA from 1 species
UGGGGAAUAUUGCACAAUGGGCGAAAGCCUGAUGCAGCAACGCCGCGUGAGGGACGACGGCCUUCGGGUUGUAAACCUCUUUUAGCAAGGAAGAAGCGAAAGUGACGGUACUUGCAGAAAAAGCGCCGGCUAACUACGUGCCAGCAGCCGCGGUAAUACGUAGGGCGCAAGCGUUAUCCGGAAAUUUAUUGGGCGUAAAGAGCUCGUAGGCGGUUUGUCGCGUCUGCUGUGAAAACCCGAGGCUCAACCCUCGGGCCUGCAGUGGGUACGGGCAGACUAGAGUGCGGUAGGGGGAGAUUGGAACUCCUGGUGUAGCGGUGGAAUGCGCAGAUAUCAGGAAGAACACCGAUGGCGAAGGCAGAUCUCUGGGCCGUAACUGACGCUGAGGAGCGAAAGGGU